rnacentral:rRNA from 1 species
CCUACGGGUGGCAGCAGUGGGGAAUAUUGCACAAUGGGCGAAAGCCUGAUGCAGCAACGCCGCGUGAGCGAUGAAGGCCUUCGGGUCGUAAAGCUCUGUCCUCAAGGAAGAUAAUGACGGUACUUGAGGAGGAAGCCCCGGCUAACUACGUGCCAGCAGCCGCGGUAAUAUGUAGGGGGCUAGCGUUAUCCGGAAUUACUGGGCGUAAAGGGUGCGUAGGUGGUUUCUUAAGUCAGAGGUGAAGGGCUACGGCUCAACCGUAGUAAGCAUUUGAAACUGGGGAACUUGAGUGCAGGAGAGGAGGGUGGAAUUCCUGGUGUAGCGGUGAAAUGCGUAGAUAUUAGGAAGAACACCGAUUGCGAAGGCAGCUCUCUAAACUGUAACUGACACUGAGGCACGAAAGCGUGGGGAGCAAACAGGAUUAGAUACCCUUGUAGUC